rnacentral:misc_RNA from 1 species
CAUCAUCGACGAGUAUUAUCCACGUAAAAUCGUCACUUUAUCCUCCGCUGCCAGCGCUGGGUUUCUCGCUUCAAAAGUGUGCUGUGCACACACACACACACACACACACCAACAACCGCAACAACACAACACAACGUACUUGAACUGAUCGAGUACAGCAGAGAAAGGAAAGGAGGGCGACAGAGAAGAUCGUCUUUGAUCAGAUCACAGCGAGGCAGCACGGUGGUCGCCGCGCUCGACUGCAGGGACUCCCCUUUACCUCCUUCACGGCUCGUGUGUGUGUGUGUGAGUGUGUUUUUUUUUUGAGCGUCCUCUGCACCUGCUUGCCCCGCAGUGGGUGAGGCGCUUCUCAACUCAUCUUUGCUGGUCCUCCUCACCUCCCCGCAGUCACGACUGCCUGCUCUUAUCUCGCCGUGUUUCUCCGAUCAUCUUCGUCGGUCUUUCGGCCUGGCAUCUCCGACUGUAUUGUGCACGUUGCCGGUGCCUUGCUUUUUCGGUACGUGUGUCUGCUGAUCGCGCACUCAGGCGCUGUGCUCGCCGUGUCGCACUACGGUAGCUUCCACCACCAAGAAGCCCCCCUUCUCUCUCCGUGUGUGCAUAUACCCCUGAGCUGGCGCUGCUUGGCGUGUUCGCCGCCGGUGGUGCGACACAACGCGAAAGGCAGAGGUGCUCAAACGGCGGAAGACUCGGUGUAUAAGCGAACGACGACAAGAGAAGAAAGCGGGAGGGGGUGCAGCCGAGAAGGUACAGCGACGUGGCGCACCAACGCAGGCGGCAGCGUAUCGCGUUUGAUGUAUGUGGGUGCAUGUAAGCAAUCCCCACGGUCGUCAGACACACGCGCAUUGACUGCUUGUGCUGCGGUGAUCGCCUCUCGUUGUUUCGGCUCUGCAAAGGUCAGGUGCGGCAGCUCGCUGCGUCAAUACCUCCCUUCUUGAUUGCGUUUGUAUUCGGCGACAGUCGUGAAGAGGUCUCAGCUUCCCGACCCCACCCCUCUCUUAGCCACCGCCGGCCCCCACCACCCACACACACACACGCUCGCACCGAGGACUACGGUGACACAGCAGCAUCCUCAGGAGGAAGGGCCACAAAAAGCCAUAACGCGAAGGGGGUUUAGUAAGGAAAGGCUCACAGGCACGACAGAGAUGGACAACCACAGUGCCGAUGUGUACAGCGACGCGGCAGACGUCCUGAAGGUGCUGCACGACACGUUAGAGAUGUACGUGUCUUCCAUGCAAGACAUUGAGGACAAGGAGCGCGGAUGCAACACGGCGUCGGCAUCCGCGUCCUCGUCAUCUCUCACCAACUCUGCAGCGAUAGACCUCGCCAUCACCCGACAGCACAUUCAGGAAAAUGUGCCGCGUUUGUUGGACGCGUGCGCAUCUGUGCGGAGUAUGUUGCGCAGGGUCGCUAUGCUGCCCCGUCAGUCCCCGCGACGGAGUGACAGCGAGUCCUUGGGCACGUCUGACAGCUUGGGCAGUUCCACAACGGCGGCAGAGCGUCAUGAAGCCGUCCAUGGCCUCAUCACGCGAAAGCUCGGCGACGUCAUGGAGAAUGCACACAUGAUACGUGGGCUCGUGAAGGUGCAGCAGCAACAGCAGCAUCUCUUGCCGUCACACCUGUCUCGCGUGUCGUCGCUAGCCUCGCCGGACGACAAUGACGGACCGCUUCUCAUGAAGCAGCUCAUUCGUGUGACGCUGUACAAUCUUGAGGACAUGGAGCGGCUUCUACGCGCCGCCUACCCGGACGAGCUACCCAUGGGCACGAUGAACUGGGGCGGCGACGAGGUCGAGGAGGCGGAUAGGCCUACGCUGUUUUCGCACUCGUCACGUGUGCAUCGCACGCUGACACGCUCGCACGGGCAACGUCUCGGCUAUAACGGUGGCGGCACCGAUCACGAAGGCCGCCGCGACUCCACUGGUUGCGCGCACAGCACCAGCAGCGGCGAUGGUGGUGGAGUGAACUCAUCAUUGGAGACGCCGCGCAGCUCCACCCACACGGCGCCGUACGUGCGACGCAGUCCCUCUUUCGACCAGGCGAACCUUCUCACCAGCUCAUGGGCGGCAGCCAAUCAAGAGGACCACGACGGCGACAGCGAAGCCGCACCGACAGUACGCCUGACCGACACAACCCCCACGUCGCCCACCGGCGCCUACCCAUCAGCAUCUAUUCUGGCGCGGUCGCAGCAGGCAGACCCGCUUUCGUCGGCGUCGUCUUUCGUCGCUUCGGCGCCGAAGCCGUCCUCGCCGCGCGUCCGCUUCGUCAUUGGCGAGCCCCCUGAUUCCGAGGACCAGGACUCCUCUAUCUCCGAGUGUGCGCUAGCGCCCACGGCAAUCCCGAAACAGUCCUCUCCUUUCGGCAGUAACCUGCUGUCAAACCCCGUGGUGCGGCUCAGCUGCGCUGACAACGGUAAGCACAGUUGCAACAUCAGCGACAGCGGAAAUCGCGCCGUCCUCUCUUCACAGUCGCUGCUGAGCGUUGAAGGUGGCAGCACUGUGCAAUCUGCCUCGCUGGGGCACCAGCGCCCAUCGCUGACGAGUGCGCAGCACUUCUCGUCCUCUUCAGCAGCAGCGGCGUCGCUACCGUUGAUGGAGGCGGAGUGGAUGAACGCAGCCCCCAUCAUGCCCACGGUGUUCGAGGUGCGGCAGAAAACGGUGCCGUUCCUUGACAGAUGCAGAGACCGAGCGCCUGACGACUCCGUCACUGCCUCAACGCGCAGCACGGCCACCACCGGCGGCUUCCUCGACUCUUCGGCGUUGCAGUUGGGCGACGGCGCGCCACCCCCGUCCCGUAAUGGGAACAGCAGCGUCGGCAGCCGGGGAGGCAUAGGCCGCGCGCUGCCGCCGCCCGUCGGGCUGCCCCCGCGGUCACCGCGCCGGCAUGACCCGCAGCAGCUUGCUACCAGCCUCGCCUCCUCGUCUGGCGAUCAGCGGCUACCGCCUACUCCAGACCCCGCUUGGGUGGACCCCAACAUGCGUGUGAGAACGUACCACAUGCAACGGCUCCCGGGCGAACUCUGGGGCGUUAUUAUCGAGGGCCAUCAAGCUAAGAUGGAGGCCGCCUUCCGUGCGGAUAUGGUGGACCUGUUCAAAUAUGGCGAAGCGUCCCCGGCGCUGCGCAGCGAGGACGUGCACGAGGUAUACUUCACCGUGGUAGGCACGGACCUGUACAUCCGCAUAGGGCUGGAGCAUCUGUGCUCGAUGGCGGAGUCCGAGAUCAACACACGACUCAAUCUCUGCUCGUACCCGCACAUGACGGGGCUGUAUGAAGAGUUCUUCAAGGCGCAUCAGGCCAAGGAGCUCGACGCCGUCGAAGACAGCAUGGCGACGCCGGACAGCGACACGCCGCGGUACAGUGACACGUAUUCGAACGGCGGCGAUGGCACAAGGGGAGACGGGGAGGAAAAGAGCGCAAGCGACGGUAGGGUUGGACAGCGCUCCUUGAGUCUCUCGAGUGACCUGAACGCUGCCGAAGCCGCCGCGGUCGACUCGGCGGCUGCCGCGCGCACACCACCACUGCUGAUCGCAACAUACUCGCGCACAAUGUCGGUGGUGGGCGGCUCGGCAGCAACGUCCUGCGUCUUCAGCACGCCGAACCUGAGAGCCGCCGUUGGUGAAGACAGUGGAGGCUUGGGCGAGACAGGGCGUGAAGCGUCCGCUUCCGUCGCCCCGUGUGCCCUCGUCAGCGUCGAGAACAGCACUCACCUCCGGGAAGGAGCCACAUCGGUGUCGGCAUCGCGUCAUCCGCACACAGUGCGUAUUCCUGGUGCGCGAUGGGCACGUCUACUGCUCUCGCCUGUGCCGGAGAAGAGCGAUCUAAAGUCCGCCUUCGUCCAAGACACGGGCGUCGCUCUUGGCGUGCUGCCGUCCGAGGCCCGCGAGGCGUGCCAGGAGGUGCGCUUCUCCUUUGGCAGCCUUGUCGUGGACUUUAUGUGGGACAAUGGGGAGCUCUACCCGGGCGCGGAGCCGCUCUCGGCGCCAGAGAUUGACACAGCUCUGAAAAACUGCCUGUACCCCUCUGUGCGUGCCUUCUACACCAACGCCUGUGCCGCACUCCACCUCGACGACGAUCUCGCGGUAGUGCCUGCGCCGAAGCGCGCCAGCAGCACCGCUGAGUCUGUCGUCGUUCAUCUCAUCCUGCCGGAUAAGUCAGAGCUCGACUUGGCGUCAGACACGGACAGCGCGUUGGCGCUCGACAUGAGCGGCAAUGCAGAGAAAGGAAAGGCGGCAUCGGUGCCCAAGUCGAGCAGGGAAGACGACCUGUCAACGGCACGCUUGCCCAUGGCAUCACAGCUGGCGCAGGCAGAGAAGGCACCGUCAACGUUUCCGUCUACUGCGGCGACGGUGCUCUGCGCAGCAGACAGUGCAGCGGCGGCGUCGAGGAAAGUGGCCUCUUCACAGCAGCAGCGAGGUGCCCCGCUACCUUCGUUUAAUCGGACGGACAGCGCCAUGUCGAACGCGUCAGGCGAGGCCGAACCCCGCGUUGCUGUUCCUCAGCCAACGGUCGGUUCCCACAUACACUCUUCAAGAGGUCAGAAGCAGCGGCGGGUGCACUCACCAGCUGGCACACCUCGCGUCGGUAUCCCCGCAACAGGUAACGCCAACGCCGCCAACUCUCGGUCCUCGAAGGCGACUGCGCGGCGCGCCAUACCAAAGAGCUCGCAGGAGCCGGCAACAUUGAACCAAUUCACCCUUCUCCACGGAGUGUCGGUUCAGGUGCUGCGUCAGUGGAACCCCGCGCUGGCGGAGCUGGACGCCGACGCCGUCAUUCCGGCCACCGUCACGGUUUACAUUCCCCGCCUCUCGCUCUCCCCCAGCCGCGCACGUGGGCAAGUGGGGCCAGGCGUGACCUCCGAGGCCGGGCGCCACCGCCACCCAACCGACUGCGCCCUUGUAGACAAGACAAGCGAUAUUCCUCACCGCCGCACGGCGCGCCUCCCGACACCGGUUGCUCAUCCAAACGCCAAGGUGACCGCAGCAGCUGCAGCAUCACGCGCGGUAUCGAUGCCCGCCUCCCCAUCUCACGCGGUAGCUUCUCCGAAACCGCCGGCACAGGCGAGCGAGCCGGAGAAAGCGAAGAGCAGCACCAUCAUCACCAUCUCCAAGGAGGACAACACCCCCGCUGUUGCCACGCCGAGCAGGCCACCACCACUCUCCGUGGAGGACGUCGAGAAGUGCCGCUCCUUUCUCACUCUACCCACGUUGCCAAGUGCAACGGUGACCUCUGCCGCUCCAGCCGCAGAGCUGGCUCUGCCUGUCUCUCCCUUCCCCAUGACGACGUCUCACUCUGCCUCCCCAGUCCUGGAGACACCGGCAGCUGCAGGCGCCAAGGUGCCACCUGGUGCUGUCAACGCGGCCGUGGCACCCGCUCAGCCCGGCGCCGCCUCCACCAAGCCGACGGCGCCAUUUUCGUCUGCCGAGCCGGCCCUGACCGCAAGGAGCACACGCGAAGUGGUGCCGCAGGCUCCGCAGCCUGACGAGAACACGGCGGCCGUGGCGACGGCGGGAAGUCGAGUUCCGCCGGCGCACACGGUGUAUCAGCUGCUCAAACCGCAGACCGCGCAAGUCGCUGAGCCGAGGGGGAUCGAGGCGCUCUUGGUAGCUCAUAGCGUCCCUCGCCUGCAUCUGGACGGAGUGGCGUUCAAGGCCGCUGCAGCUGCUGACGACGUUGCUCGUGGCUUCGCUGUUGGCGACGACCACGUCGACCACGAGAACCACAAGGAAGCAGUCGAGGGGUCGGCGAUGCUGUUGGAGUGGGACCUGGGCCUGCGCCUCGACAAUCUCACGGUGGUGCAGGUGCGGCGCGGCUCUGUGGCUGCGCGAGCCAACGUGCAGCCCGGCGACACGCUGCGCACGAUGAAUGGGCAGGCGCUUCUCUGUCGAAGCGACUUCGAGCACGCCAUGGCGCAGCAGCUUCAGCAGCACAGAAAGGGAAGUGAAGAGUGCACAUUGUUCGUAACGGCGAUGACCAGCCGCGGCAUCCCUACAACGUAUCGUCUUCGUCUUCCGGCUCUUCGCCGCGACGGCGCGACGGCGCAGCCAGAUCAGCCACUGGCAGCGCAGCAGCAGGUACAGCCGCCCCCACGAAGGGCAGGGCCCCUCUCCGCACGGAUGUCAGGUGCAGCGAGAGGUGCCCCGCAGCAGCAGCGGGGACUGCAGCCCGCUACUCAAAGCUCCGCGAGAGUGCCAGUGGCAAGGGCAGCGCCGGCAUCUGCCCGCACGCCCGUGAGCAGUCUCGGUGCGGCUGCGCGGGUGUCGCGCGUAGUUCCGAUUAACACGAACGCGGUGCUGUUGUGUACUAUGAAGCCGCUGGACACGAUCCGCACUUCGUCGAUCGAUGCAGGUGGUGCUGAGUCCUUGCCAGGGUCUGCAUAGGGGACAGACCGCGAUGGCAGUGCGUCCAGCCGCACGCGAGCGUACGUCUCGUAGGCGAUAGUCAGCAUGUACAACAGGGCAGCAAAAAGGCACAAGUGGUAGCGGGGAAGAAAGCAGUGAUGCAGCCGCAUGCUCGGUGCUCCUGUUGAUCAUUCUCCAUGCACGCUCGCCUCCCUCCCCUCGUUGCCCGCGCCCACGCCACCCCUCAGCGUUUGGCUCGCAUAUAUCGCUACUCGUGCCGGUCGUGUGUCUCUUCCAUCCGCUCGCCGCCACAUGCCCCAGUGAUGCUUCGGAUGUUGUGCGUAUGUGCGCGCGUUUCUUUUUCCAUGUGAGCGUACUGCACCGGAUCAAGAAAUCAGGAGCACUUCUUCCGUACGAGCGCAACUCUACCUCUCUCUCUUUGUGUGUGUGUGUAUGUCACAGUCGGUCGAGUGGCCGGCGCCGGUGCUCGUCACGGCAGCCGCCUACCCUUACGCGCUCUUCCGUCUCGCUCACCUCACCUCCUGUCUCCACACCCGUCCUCUUACACGCGUGAGGAAGAAGAGAAGAACCACCACCGACACACUAACCGAAGUGCUUGCAUGCGUCUGUCCCAUAUUUGCGCGUUGCUGUGACCGCUCACCUACAUGGUGUCCCAUCUCUCCCUCUCCUGUGCGACCGCCUUGUCGGUGGGCCGUCAUCGGCGCCGUGGGUUUUCACUCGCCACCCCCCCCCUCCAUCCCAAUCCUUCGCGCACGCACGCACACCAUAAACGCAUGUGGGCAAACGCUGAGAACCGCGAGCGCAG